GGAAGGGCUAUAGCUCAGUGAGAGAGCCUCUGCCUUGCAGGCAGAAGGACCCAGGUUCAACCCCUGUUUCCA